rnacentral:rRNA from 1 species
AUUGAACGCUGGCGGCAGGCCUAACACAUGCAAGUCGAACGCGUCGCGGACGGGUGAGUAAUGUCUGGGAAACUGCCUGAUGGAGGGGGAUAACUUCUGGAAACUGUCGCUAAUACCGCAUACUAUCAGAUGUGCCCAGAUGGGAAUAGCUUGUUGGUGGGGUAACGGCUCACCAAGGCGACGACCCCUAGCUGGUCUGAGAGGAUGACCAGCCACACUGGAACGGAGACACGGUCCAGACUCCUACGGGAGGCAGCAGUGGGGAAUAUUGCACAAUGGGCGCAAGCCUGAUGCAGCCAUGCCGCGUGUAUGAAGAAGGCCUUCGGGUUGUAAAGUACUUUCAGCGGGGAGGCGUUACCGACAGAAGAAGCACCGGCUAACUCCGUGCCAGCAGCCGCGGUAAUUC